GAACCCUGAUGUCAACUGUCAAAGCAGCCAAUAGUUUGCACUUCCAAGCAAGGGAAAUGAGGUUCUUUCUCACCCAGUUUUUUUCCCUGAAGACAUUCCUCCGAGUCAACGAAUGGCCCAAACCACAGCCUCCGGGAUCCAUUUCAACCAAAUGACUCAACUACCAACUAUUUCUUAAAGUAAAUGAGUGGCAUUUAUCAGUCCUCUCAGAAAACCACCUCACUGAAACCUUCACUUUUGAGGUGAGAAAACAUGCUUGACUGGGAUGAAUAGGAUCUGCCUGGAGCGGG